GACGGAUCGCGGAAGGUUGUCCAGCUGUUGGAAUAGCUGGUUUCUGGUUCAUAGAAGGCGCUUAGGCAAAUCCGGGCGCGGAAUUCAAGGGACUGGGACGGGCACCCAUGUGGUGCGAAGCAAUCGGAAGUGGUUCCAAGAAAAGCCUCUAAGCUUCAGUCAUACGAGACCGUACCGCAAACCGACACAGGUGGGCGAGAUGAGUAUUCUAAGGCGCUUGAGAGAACUCGGGAGAAGGAACUCGGCAAAUUGACACCGUAACUUCGGGAUAAGGUGUGCCCUAGUAGCGUGUAGAGAACAUCGAAGCGUGAAUGGGUUGCAAAAAAUAGGUGGCUGCGACUGUUUACUAAAAACACAGCACUCUGCAAACACGAAAGUGGA
rnacentral:rRNA from 1 species